GUAUUAAAAGCUACAUUUGUGGGGAAGGUAUUUUUAAAUAAUCAUACUCAACAUGAGAGAUUUGGUAGAAUGAUUAAGACCAUACUCCACAAAGGCUGUAUCAUUUAGUAUGACUCAUUGCUAUCUGUGGUUUACAUU